CUCAGGUGUUCUUCAUCUGACCUUUACUAUACGACACUGUUUUUCCAAGCUCAUCCCCUUCCCUUUCUCCUUUUAAGCUUCUUGGCAAUAAUGUCCAUGACUACAUCUGUUGCUGCUAUAUCCAUGGCAACAUUCAGACACUCUGUUACUGGUGAGUGCUCAGCACAGAAGCCUUCCACUCCCAUAUAAGUAUUCAAAAUCUCCCAUUGGUAGUAACCCAUUCAGAUUCCUUUGUUAUAUAGUUUCCUUGAUCCAGCAGAAAUUCUUCUCUCCCACCCCUUAUAACGAACAAAAUAGGGCCCCAAACCCUAUAAUAGUACCUUCUGACCCAGGCUAGAAAAAUAGAAUUGUCACUUGAGAAGAAUGGACUUUUAUUUAAAAGCCAUCAGAUUACAUACAUGGAACCUUUUUAUGAUGGCAAGUGGGCUCAAAGUCAUGAAAUAUUCCACUCCCCCUGCAUCUUUCAUUUACAGUUGAUCCUCUCUGAAAUGUGUUGUGAUAGGAUAAAGAACAGGAGUACUUGUGGCACCUUAGAGACAAACAAAUUUAUUAGAGCAUAAGCUUUCGUGGACUACAGCCCACUUCUUCGGAUGCAGGAUAUCAGAUAAAAGUGAUCUUCUGCUAGCACGCACACCACUACGCUGGAAGCCCUACUGAGAAGUUCUAACCACCUACUGAAAAUAGAGGCAAGCCUUGCUGAAAACUUUUAUUGGAGCCAAAAACUCUUAUGGAGAUGCCUGGCAAAAUAAUCCAAAAAAUGAUUCUAAAGAAAUGUACUUACAUAUCCACCUACGUAUCAAAACCAGAAAGCUAUGCUAACAAGGGAUGGAUCCUCCAGCCUGGGGAGAUGGGUAUGCUAUAAGAAGACUAAUUUUCAAAUAAGAACAUGCCUGCGUUUCUCCAAUUAUCAUCUCUUCUUUUAUUGAGCUGCUGACUGCUGUCAGAAAAUCACAGAAUAGGUCACUACAUUUGACUUUUAAAGCCAAAGGACAAUCAUAUUGAAUGUGGGCAGAAAUAGGGUUUUAAAGCCCAGAGUUUGCUUCUUGUAUACAUAUUUGUUAAAAUAAAAUCCUCAAGAUUAAAAAAAAGAGAGAGAAUCAUUUUAUCAAGAUGAAAUAUGAAAGCUAUAAUUCUUAACUCUAUUACCAUAUAUACAGCUGUGAUAAAAAUCUUACUGUCAAUUUCAUGCUUUUUGGACAGAUGGCAGGGCUUGCUUCUGUAUUGUUCUCAAGCUUGUGGUGGGGCUGGAUUUUUUUUUUUUUAAACAUAAUGCAAGUAUAAUGAGCCAAACAAUAUUAUUCUAGC